rnacentral:snoRNA from 1 species
CAAGCAUGAGGCCCUGAGUUCAAACCCUGCCCCCCUCAAAACAAAACAGAUAGCCGAACUUCACAUCACGAAGCAUUAGAUACUGACUGUAAUAUUUUAAAAACUCUAAAAAUAUUGUAGCAGGGACUUUUAGCAUAUGUUCAAAUAUUCUGUUCAAGCUAGAAAUUUGAGUCACCGAGCCUUGCUUUCAUGUGUGCUGUGGCUCCAAGUUCUUGGCAGCAGCCUGUGGGGGGCUCAGAGGUGGGGGCCACAGUGGGGGUGCCCACAAGCCAUGUGAGGGCAACCUUGGAUCUGACA